rnacentral:rRNA from 1 species
GACAGCAGUAGCCACGGUAAUACGGAGGGAGCUAGCGUUGUUCGGAAUUACUGGGCGUAAAGCGCACGUAGGCGGUUAUUCAAGUCAGAGGUGAAAGCCCGGGGCUCAACCCCGGAACUGCCUUUGAAACUAGAUGACUGGAAUCUUGGAGAGGUCAGUAGAAUUCCGAGUGUAGAGGUGAAAUUCGUAGAUAUUCGGAAGAACACCAGUGGCGAAGGCGACUGACUGGACAAGUAUUGACGCUGAGGUGCGAAAGCGUGGGGAGCAAACAGGAUUAGAUACCCCAGUAGUCCCUGUCUCUUAUAC